UCAGCUUUGGUGCAGUAGGUAGCCCAUCAGUCUUGAAAGCUGAAGAUCCUGAGUUUGAUCCUCUGAAGGAGAA
rfam:Monodelphis domestica chromosome 2, whole genome shotgun sequence.